GCCGGCGUGAUGGAAUUGGCAGACAUGCGGGACUCAAAAUUCCGUGGUGGCAACACCGUAUCGGUUCGACCCCGAUCGCCGGCACCA
rnacentral:tRNA from 1 species